UUUUAAUAAAGGCCUUUUUUUGCCAAGUGAAUUUUACCAUCAUCUCUGCAGUUUGGAUCUUGGCAAGAAGAACGAGCACUAGCUUAUGUCUUCCCAUCACCUGUAUCCCCUCAAAGCAGGACUUGCCCAAGGGGCUGCUCCAGGUUCUGGCUUCCAUCCCAACCGGGCAGAAUUUGCAAGGACCGUGCGCGCUGCAAAGGUUUGCUGCCUUCCUUCCCAGGGCUCCCUCUGCUUCUGGUGACGUUGCUGACUUUAGUCUGGCCGUAACCCCUAGUACUUGAUCGAAGGCCAAAAAUCCUUGUGUGGCUAAGGCGGGAGCCGGGGUUCAGAGUCCUUUGGGAUUGACUGUCAGCUUCCUUUAGCAGCGGUGGCUCUUGGCCCAGUUCUGCCCCACGUUCCUCUCGGAGUUUGUUUGUUUUCUCCUCCUCCCCAAUGUGACUUUGCAUAACUGCAGCAGCCCUUGGCUGGACACUGACGGCAGGCAGCGAGGGAGAUGCGGCAGCACCUGGUACAGCGAGGCACGGUGCCCAGGGAGGUGUCUGGGGAGCCCUGCCCGGGGCUGAGCUGAGGGGCGAAUGCGGCCGCCAGCGAGGCCAACAAAGCGCCCGGGCUCCGUUUUAGGGAGACCUGGGCUGGAAAGGCUCUAAUUUAUUUAAGGUAGGAGCAUUCUUGGAACACAGGGAAAGCUGUAAUGCUGACAAAGUGCUUGAUUACUGGCAGCCACAGCUGAUUAUUUGCUUUGGGAAAUCUUGGUAGUUGGAAUUAGCAGCAUCCAUGGAGCUUCCAGCUGGCGGACAUACCUCGCUCCUAACAGCUUUAGGAGGAGGUUGGCUUUAACUGCCCUGGAGGGGCAGGUACAUCGUAGGGGUUCUUCCACCAAAGCCACCAGAGCCGCGCCAGGGGUGCAUUUGGCUUGCAAUGCAAAUCUGUGUGAUUGUAGAAUGCCACUCCUGUUGGGAACCUGUUUGUCUGUGUUGGUCCCCUGCUUCCAGUAGGACGUGCUCAGCUAUGGACCUGCUUCUUGCCCUGGAGCAUCGUUCCAGAGAGGAAAAGCACUUCUGGCUGUGUGAGGGGAAUCGUUGCUUGGUUCUGCUCUUACAAGGGCAAUGUUAAUCCUUUUUGUAUCACACAGAGUGCAAUUAUUUUAUUGCUCCUUCCCCCUUCUCACAUGACAUCCGUUGCUGGCAAUGGACACGUGAAAACUCUGGUGUCAAGGAGUUAAGCAAACCUGCCUUGGGGUAUGCAAUGUCGUCUGAAGCACUCAGAAUACCUAGGAGGAGUGUCCAGAGUGCAGUGAGACACCAUGGGGCUCACUGGCAGCUCAGCAAGGGCAAAGGAGCUGGACUGAAUUCAGAAGAAAAAAAAAAACGCACAAAGGCCUAACAUUUGUACGUGUAUCUUCCUCAGUAGAUUAAAGUUGCCUGUUUUGAGUUCACCAGCAAUAAAAAAACUUGUGAUUUAUCCACUUUGUCCUUACUCUGCAGCGACAAGGACAGAGUUGCCUAUUGCUGCAUUUUUUUCUUUUUCUUUCUUUCUUUUUUUUUUUUUUAGUAUGGUGGGAUAUGGGCUGAAGUUACCUUUGGGUUUUAUACUGCCUCCCUUGUUUUCAUUUUCACUUUUACUGUCCACCUUAAGCAUCUCAAAGUACAGCAUAAAAUAAGGAGUCUGGAACAGGAUAAAAUAAGGAGUGCAUUCAAGCAUUACUGCGAUGUCUGUUCAUCCUCCAAAGAUCUUGCCGGAGGGGAACAGCUCAUUUGAAAUAGGACUGGGCUGCAUUUUGCUCUCUCUGGUGUUACAAUUGAGAGACAUAUGUCCCUAUGUACCAGGUGCUGUUAUGCCUUUGGUCUGAGUGCAUUUUGUAAUUAAAAUGGAAUAAUCCAGUCAAAGUUUUGCUUGAUUAGUCCUGUGAGUAUAAAAGGCAAAAAAGUGACCGAAAGGCUCUAACUGCUUGGAGUGGGGGGGCUGGCAACCCAAGGCCCCUGAGCUCAGCAUCACUGCUCUGACCAAGUUCUGAAGCCUGCACAGAAAGAGCAGCGAUUUCUUUGCUAG